GACGAACGCUGGCGGCGUGCCUAAUACAUGCAAGUAGAACGCUGAAGAGAGGAGCUUGCUCUUCUUGGAUGAGUUGCGAACGGGUGAGUAACGCGUAGGUAACCUGCCUGGUAGCGGGGGAUAACUAUUGGAAACGAUAGCUAAUACCGCAUGAAAUUGCUUAUCGCAUGAUAAUUAAUUGAAAGAUGCAAUUGCAUCACUACCAGAUGGACCUGCGUUGUAUUAGCUAGUUGGUGAGGUAACGGCUCACCAAGGCGACGAUACAUAGCCGACCUGAGAGGGUGAUCGGCCACACUGGGACUGAGACACGGCCCAGACUCCUACGGGAGGCAGCAGUAGGGAAUCUUCGGCAAUGGGGGGAACCCUGACCGAGCAACGCCGCGUGAGUGAAGAAGGUUUUCGGAUCGUAAAGCUCUGUUGUAAGAGAAGAACGGGUGUGAGAGUGGAAAGUUCACACUGGACGUUCUACCAAAAGACG
rnacentral:rRNA from 1 species